GUCGAGCGCACCCUUCGGGGCGAGCGGCGGACGGGUUAGUAACGCGUGGGAACAUACCCUUUGGUACGGAAUAGCCUCGGGAAACUGAGAGUAAUACCGUAUGAGCCCUUCGGGGGAAAGAUUUAUUGCCAAAGGAUUGGCCCGCGUAAGAUUAGAUAGUUGGUGGGGUAAUGGCCUACCAAGUCUACGAUCUUUAGCUGGUUUUAGAGGAUGAUCAGCAACACUGGGACUGAGACACGGCCCAGACUCCUACGGGAGGCAGCAGUGGGGAAUCUUAGACAAUGGGCGCAAGCCUGAUCUAGCCAUGCCGCGUGUGUGAUGAAGGCCUUAGGGUCGUAAAGCACUUUCGCCAGGGAUGAUAAUGACAGUACCUGGUAAAGAAACCCCGGCUAACUCCGUGCCAGCAGCCGCGGUAAUACGGAGGGGGUUAGCGUUGUUCGGAAUUACUGGGCGUAAAGCGUACGUAGGCGGAUCAGAAAGUAAGGGGUGAAAUCCCAGGGCUCAACCCUGGAACUGCCUCUUAAACUCCUGGUCUUGAGUUCGAGAGAGGUGAGUGGAAUUCCAAGUGUAGAGGUGAAAUUCGUAGAUAUUUGGAGGAACACCAGUGGCGAAGGCGGCUCACUG
rnacentral:rRNA from 1 species